AACGAACGCUGGCGGCAUGCCUAACACAUGCAAGUCGAACGAAAGCUUCGGCCUUAGUGGCGCACGGGUGCGUAACGCGUGGGAAUCUGCCCUUUGGUUCGGAAUAACAGCUGGAAACGGCUGCUAAUACCGGAUGAUGACGAAAGUCCAAAGAUUUAUCGCCAGAGGAUGAGCCCGCGUUGGAUUAGGUAGUUGGUGGGGUAAAGGCCUACCAAGCCGACGAUCCAUAGCUGGUCUGAGAGGAUGAUCAGCCACACUGGGACUGAGACACGGCCCAGACUCCUACGGGAGGCAGCAGUGGGGAAUAUUGGACAAUGGGCGCAAGCCUGAUCCAGCAAUGCCGGGUGAGUGAUGAAGGCCCUAGGGUUGUAAAGCUCUUUUACCCGGGAAGAUAAUGACGGUACCGGGAGAAUAAGCCCCGGCUAACUCCGUG
rnacentral:rRNA from 1 species